CACCGACUUAAAGCUAAAGAGAGGACACCGGAUGAAUUCCGGUAAUCAACAGAGUUGAAUAACUAAGGGCUUUUUCCUAUGCCAUUUUCUCUGCUAUGGGAGUACUUUUGGAAAGCUCUCUUUGGGGAAACGUGACGUCAGUUCUGGAAAUGGUAGGGGAAUAUUCAUUCCAAAGUCCUUAUUCUACUGUCACUCAACAUCAACAACUCAAUUAGUGUCGAUGAGAACAUGAUUGGUCUACUAGCAAACCGUCACCCUUCACUAUGGCAAUGCUUCGAGAGGAGAGCCUCUUUUCAGCGAAGCCACUCUGGUCACGAGCACAAAAGGCCGAACACUGUUUCAGAAGGCAAUUCUUCAGUGGAAGGAUGCCAGACUUGGAAAGGUCAAUAGACCAUUAAGUGUUGUCACGGCUCUGAAGUAAUCACCCUCCCCCCAAAUUUGAUUAUUGAAAAGCAAAGACGACGACGUCAUUCAAGCUCAGCUCUUUUCAGCUUGACCUUUGAGUCCCUCAGCUGCCUGCCAGCCAAUGCAUCUACCAAAUGAACACUUAGCGCAGUGAGAGAUGUUAUAAUUGGAGCAACGAACAGACGAUGUGGAAGAAAUGUAGAGGGUCUUUCAUACCGAAAAGCUAACCUGCACUGAUUGACAGGUGCACACCUACUUAGCUAUUGUGAUAAUGAACUCAAGGGACAGCCUUUGAUGAACAGUCAAGACAACCAUUGGCCUGCAGAUAGGCCUGUU